rnacentral:rRNA from 1 species
AUUGAACGCUGGCGGCAUGCUUUACACAUGCAAGUCGAACGGUAACAGGCCGCAAGGUGCUGACGAGUGGCGAACGGGUGAGUAAUGCAUCGGAACGUGCCCAGUCGUGGGGGGUAACUACUCGAAAGAGUAGCUAAUACCGCAUACGAUCUAUGGAUGAAAGCGGGGGACCGUAAGGCCUCGCGCGAUUGGAGCGGCCGAUGUCAGAUUAGGUAGUUGGUGGGGUAAAGGCUCACCAAGCCAACGAUCUGUAGCUGGUCUGAGAGGACGACCAGCCACACUGGGACUGAGACACGGCCCAGACUCCUACGGGAGGCAGCAGUGGGGAAUCUUGGACAAUGGGCGCAAGCCUGAUCCAGCAAUGCCGCGUGCAGGAAGAAGGCCUUCGGGUUGUAAACUGCUUUUGUACGGAACGAAACGGCUCUGGUUAAUACCCGGGGCUAAUGACGGUACCGUAAGAAUAAGCACCGGCUAACUACGUG